UGAAAUGGCAAUAUGCAAGCCAUCCAAACACCUGAAGCAAAAUUUGGGGCAUUGAAAUGAACAGCUACAGAUACUAAAGAGGAUUGUGUUGGACAGCAGUGAGCAAAGCAGUGGCCUGGAAAUGCUGAUGACCUACAUCUCUGGGUGGUCUUCUGAUUUUUCCUACUGUCCUGAAACAGCACCUCAGAAUCCUUCCCGACACAGAGCUUCAGGCAGGAUCUCUCAGUUUCACAGGAAUUGCGGGGAAUCCUGGAGAUCCAGGAUCAGGACAUGGACAGCGACAAGGGGGAGCAGGCAGCAGCCACC